GUGGCGCACGGGUGCGUAACGCGUGGGAAUCUGCCCUUUGGUUCGGAAUAACAGUUAGAAAUGACUGCUAAUACCGGAUGAUGACUUCGGUCCAAAGAUUUAUCGCCAGAGGAUGAGCCCGCGUAGGAUUAGGUAGUUGGUGGGGUAAAGGCCUACCAAGCCGACGAUCCUUAGCUGGUCUGAGAGGAUGAUCAGCCACACUGGGACUGAGACACGGCCCAGACUCCUACGGGAGGCAGCAGUGGGGAAUAUUGCACAAUGGGCGCAAGCCUGAUGCAGCAACGCCGCGUGAGGGACGACGGCCUUCGGGUUGUAAACCUCUUUUAGCAGGGAAGAAGCGAAAGUGACGGUACCUGCAGAAAAAGCACCGGCUAACUACGUGCCAGCAGCCGCGGUAAUACGUAGGGUGCAAGCGUUGUCCGGAAUUAUUGGGCGUAAAGAGCUCGUAGGCGGUCUGUCGCGUCUGCUGUGAAAACCCGAGGCUCAACCUCGGGCCUGCAGUGGGUACGGGCAGACUAGAGUGCGGUAGGGGAGAUUGGAAUUCCUGGUGUAGCGGUGGAAUGCGCAGAUAUCAGGAGGAACACCGAUGGCGAAGGCAGAUCUCUGGGCCGUAACUGACGCUGAGGAGCGAAAGCGUGGGGAGCGAACAGGAUUAGAUACCCUGGUAGUCCAC
rnacentral:rRNA from 1 species